AACGCACAUUGCGCCCUCUGGUAUUCCGGGGGGCAUGCCUGUUCGAGCGUCAUUACAACCCUCAAGCUCUGCUUGGUAUUAGGCUUCACCUGCUACAGGUGGGCUUCAAAAUCAGUGGCGGUGCCAUCUGGCUUCAAGCGUAGUAAUUUUUCUCACUUGGGAGCUCCAGUUGUGUGCCUGCUAUCAAACCCCAAUUUUUUAAAGGUUGACCUCGGAUCAGGUAGGGAUACCCGCUGAACUUAA
rnacentral:misc_RNA from 1 species